GCACUCUGGGUGGGCAGCGGUUCCUCUGUUUCUCAUUGGCUCCCUCUCUCUCAAUCAGCAGAUUGUCUCCACCCUCCUCUGCUCAUUUCCUGUCUGUAAGUCACCAACAGCAGUGUAAGCAAGGGGAGGUUUUAACAGUCUGCUCUCAACCCUUGCCUAAAAAUGUGACUUCUCAUGUUUUUAGGCAAGAUUCCAGAAGCAAUCUUGAUAGGAAAAAGAGACAGCCUCUUCACAGACAGAAUAUAUCAUUCUUUUAUCUAUGUUCACCCAAUCAGGGCUCUUUCCUGGAAAUGAUGUUUGAGAAGAUCUUGAUGAGAGCCUUGGAGUCUGUGGUUUCCCAGAGGCACAAGAUUUGUGCCUUUAAGUAAGCCGGCAUCCUACUAAAAGGUGGUAUUGAAAAAUUCCAAGAAAUGGCUUACUGUCUACCUGUUACGGUUAUCCCCGUAUUCCCAAUUCCUCUUUUGGAUUUGAGUUUCUCCAGCAGCUACCUCAAAUAAGCGUUCUUACUUGAAAAGAAAAGGAAAAGAAAGAAAAAUGCAGUGUUUAGGAGGAGGUGGCCGCGUUCUGAUCUUCACCACCUCUCUGCACUUAGGGAAUGAACCACAGGUGGGAAGUAGCUUUCAUAAGUCAAUUCACCUGAGUCAGUUUGAGUUUGGCCGCGUUCCCCUUCUGGUCCUGAGGUCACAGGAAAAAGGAGGAGCCUUUUGAUGAGAGGAACUGGGGUGUUUGAGGUGAUGAAAGUUUGAGGGCAGCCAGAAGAUAGUGGGAACACACAAAACUUUUGCCAAGAAGGCAGCUGUCUGUGCACCAUGCCUGUGGCCCUUCAUUUUUCUGACUUCUGUCUUCACUCCUGCUGUUCCUCGGUGAUGUUCACGCUGCUGGUAAUGGGAAGAAUAUGACAAGGUCAAAGACCUUGUAUCCGACAGCUCAGUCAUCACCAGGAAGCUCUUUACAAAUGCAAAUUCUUGGGCUCUGCCUCAGAACCAGAAACUUGUUUUAACAAGCCAUCCAGGAGACGAUGGACAUUGGCGAUAAGGGUUGUAUCCCUGGUCCUGGAAGAUCCCACGUGCUGAGAAGCAGCUAAACCGGUGCCCCACAACUAUUGAGACUGUGCUCUCGAGCCCGGGAACUGUGACCACAUGCCGAAACUACAGCCGGUGCAGCCUACAGCCUGUGCUCCGCAGCAAGAGCAGCCACCGCAACAGGUACUGAUGAUGGACCCUAAGUGGACAGCUGGAAGUCCAGAAGACAGGACAAAACAUCUGUCGGCAUCUCCCAUACUGAACAUGGAACAUGAGUGAGAAAUAAACCUCUGUUAUAAAAGUCGCUUCGAUUCGGGGCUGUUACUGCAGAAUCCUCUAGCCCAUCCUGGCUGAUCAAGGGAGGCUGUCGGGGCUGGUGAGGCAGGACAGCUCUGGUGCUGGCAACAAAUCAGAAAAGAUCAAAGCUGAGGCUUCGACUACACAAAGGGCUCCGUGCCAGGGAGGGACAGAUAGUGGCCGUGGGAUGGAAGGGUCUGGAUGUCUGCAGGACUGGCCCAAAUAGACCCUUUGAGAUAGAAAAGAAGCUAGAAAUUGUCAUUAGAGAUGAUAGCCUUACCUAACGACAGAAUGGGCUCUGGUGCCACGGCUCUUUCCUCUGCUUCCUGAGCAAGUUACACUGCACUUCAGUGUCCUUUUCUAUAAAGUGAAGACAGCAGCACCUAUGUGUAGGGUUGUUGCUGGGGCUAAAUGAGUUACCCACAUGUGAGUUAACACGUGUGCUUAGAACGCGUAUAAUGUACUACCCACAUGUAAUGAGGUACCACAGGAGCUUAUGAGGUGUGUAUCCGACUCACUACAGGUGCUCAAUACACAUUAUUCCUCAGUAUUUUCUUCCCAAGGCUCCCAACUUGCAGAUAAUAAAACUGAGUUCCAGACAGGCUCUAAGACUUCCUAGAGAUGACAUGGCCAACUGACAGCACAGAAGGCCUCCCCCACAGCCAGCCAGGAAACGGGCUGACUCUGCACGCCGU
ensembl:lncRNA